rnacentral:snRNA from 1 species
GUGCUUGCUUCAGCAGCACAUAUACUAAAAUUGGAACAAUACGGAGAAGAUUAGCAUGGUCCAUGUGCAAGGAUGACAUGCAAAUUCGAGAAGCAUUCCAUAUUUUU